rnacentral:rRNA from 1 species
CAAAAACAUGUCCUUUAGAAUUUAAUUUAAGGUCUAGCCUGCCCACUGAAAUUAUUUGAAGGGCCGCAGUAAUUUGACUGUGCAAAGGUAGCAUAAUCAUUAGUUUUUUAAUUGAAAGCUUGUAUGAAGGGUUGGACGAGGUAAAUUCUGUCUCUAUUUAAUUUAAUAUAGAAUUUAAUUUUUAAGUUAAAAAGCUUAAAUUUUUUUAAAAGACGAGAAGACCCUAUAGAUCUUUAUAUUAAAAAUAUUAAUUUUAAUUAAGAAUAAUUAAUUUUUUAGUAUUAUUAAUAUUUUAUUGGGGUAAUAAGAAGAUUAAUUUAAUUCUUUUUUAUUUAUACAUUAAUAAAUGAAUAUAUGAUCCAAUUUUAUUGAUUAAAAGAUUAAGUUACCUUAGGGAUAACAGCGUAAUUUUUUUUGAGAGUUCAUAUCGAUAAAAAAGUUUGCGACCUCGAUGUUGGAUUAAAAAUUAUCUUAGGUGCAAAAGUUUAAGAUUUUGGUCUGUUCCACCAUUGAAUUUUUACAUGAUCUGAG